GUGACCAGCCUCUGAGAGAAGUUCCCAGUGAUGGGAGGACGCCUGCCCAGCCCUGUGGCCCAGCCCUGGACAGCAGGGCUGGCUUUCUGGCAAGGCCCUGCCUGCCACAAGAGUCAGUCUGGGAUCUUAGAAUUGUGGCUUAAAAGUUGGGCAGGACCUGGAGACUCUGGAGUCCAGUCCCAAUGUGACAGGAUUAGAACCCGCUUCCUCUGUGCUCUCGCUAGGCAAUAUGUGACCUUGGGUCACAAGAGCCAGACCAGAGAGGACCCAGACGUCACCUGAUCCAACUUCCUUCUUUUAGAGGAAACUGAGGUCCAGAGAAGGGAAGUAGAGGAACCCCCAAAAGGAAGGGUGCCUGAGACCUCAGCCGGGGCCCUUGCCUGGUUAACGCCACCUGAGGUCAGUGGGACCUGAACAUCUGUUUUUUCCCAGCUCUAAUGGGGGUGUUGCGCCUUGCUGCUGUUUUGCUCGUCCUUCAUUUUGAAGAGGACCGUGACAUCAUGGAUUGACGAAUUGGGCAUGGGUUGGAUUGAAGUGAGGCAGAGCCGCACAAAGUCAUCUGCCUCACUGUCUCUUCCAGUCAUUAAAGCACAGUGGCAGGACCAAAGUCCAGAUGACCAUCAGCUUCCUCAACGAUGCAAUGGAAACCACCAUAGCACUUACCUCACAGGGUUGUGAGGAACAACCAAGAAAGUGUCCUUCUAGUGCUGAGCACAGUUCCUGGCACACAGUAGGCUUUUGGAAUCUCCUCCCCUUGAUCAAGACCACAAAAGAUGAUCUCUGAGAUGCCUACUUAAUGCACAUCCAAGCCACUUGGGGGAGCAGAUGCCUCAAAGAACUCAUGGCAACAUGCAAUACUGUGAAGAACACUGGUUCUGGGGUCAGAGGUCCUGGUUUCAAAUCCUACCAUGAACACUAUCUGUGUGACCUUGGGCAAAUACUUCAUUUUACCUUUCUAAACCUCAGUUUCCUCAUCUGUAAAAUGAGGGGGUUGGAGUAGAUGACUUCUGAGGUGCCUCCAAGACACAUGGUCCUAUGAUACUGGGAGACAAAAUGAUGAGUUAGCAGCAGGUGUCCCAAAUCUACUCUGUAUCUCAUGAGGCUGAGACAGGCCUGCUGUGCAGAUCACAUUGUUCUCUGAAAGCCAGCUGACCAGUCAGGAUGCUCUGGGAAUGAGCGUGCCCUUAGUGUUCCAGGACUGAGCAGAUGGGGAAUGGGCCACCUUGGCACCACCGUUAGAACAGAUCUGUAGAUGCAGACUAACGCUGAGCUCAACAAAUGUUAAGUGCCCCUCACUUAGCCAGGUACCGUGUCUGGCGCUGAGAGAGACACAAUACAGAUUCCCUGCCCUCAAGGAGCUCACAAUCCAGACAUGAUAACUUUGCUCAGACGCUCCCCAUCUCGGCAACGCGCUCCUUCCCCCUCUUUUCCCGUUGAAUCCCUACCCAUCCUUCAAAAGCUCACCCACAUGACACCCUUCACCAAACCUUCCCUGAUUCCCUCCCCUUCUUAGAUCACAAGGUCAUGGGGUCACUGAUCUGGAUCUAGUCCAAUCUGCCCAUUUGAUAGAUGAGGAAACUGAGGCUAAGAGAGAUGACUCGCCCAAGGUCAUAGAAGUAGUAACAGAUGUGGGGUCUGAACACCUGUCCUUUGUCUCCAAAGUCAGUGCUCUUUAUAUUAUACCACACCCAAGAUCAACAAGCAUUUAUGAAGCACCUACUAUGUGUCAGGACCCAUGCUAAGUACUGGGGAAACAAACAAACAAAAAAAGGCACAAAAUGGGCCCUGCCAUCCAGGAGCUCACAGACAACACGCAAACACUGUGUCCAAACAAGAUCUAGACAGGAUAAGGUGAAGAAAAUCAGCCAACGGGGAGGCACUUGCCUUGCUUGUCAACUGACUUCUGAGCGAGGUCUUUUCUAUAGACUGUCUGAGCCUUCAGAAAACAUCCGGGACGGCCUUUAAGCUGAUCUUCUCCACCUGCUCACGGCGUGUCUAAGCUAAACACAGAAAGGGCACCUCCACGGGAUUAUCUUAGCAUGAAUGUAGCUUUUGCAGCUUCCUGACAAAUAGGCUGAAAAGGCCUCGUUUGGAGUUGGGUGUGCUUGAAACGUCUCAGUUGUCCGGUGAACUCACAACCACCAUUCUGGAAUGUCCGCCGCAUUCAUCCAGAAGGACAAUAUCCGUUGUGUGCUGUCAGGUUUUGCUUUGUGGCUGCUCAUGGGUGUGCACAUGCCUGUGUGUGCACCUGUAUGUGGAUCUGCACUCUUGGCUGCACCACUCCCCUUGAAAACGACUGAUCUGACAGUUCUUUCCUUAGCAUGCUAUUCCUUCCUCUAAGUUGUGUGCCUCAACUGUAAGAUAGGAAUGAUAACAGCCCCUCCUUCACAGGGUUGUUAGCAGGAUAAAAUAAAAUAAUGAUUGUCAAGUACACACAGAA